CUCAGCACCUCCCCCACGCGCAACCCAGCUUGGCAGCCCGGGGGAGCCGCCCCUUGCCUGGGCUCCCGCUCCGCACGCUGCCUGGCAGUGGCGUGCCGUACUGCACGGCUCCUUGCCUGCGGGGCGCCCAAUGCCGCCCACCACCACAGGCCGGGAGGGACUCAAAUCCCAGCCCAAACCACAGGGACCGGUUGCUAAGAGGCAGCCCGGCUGGGCCCAGGCACCGCACUAACGCCACCCUACCCGCCGGGCUCCCGCCGUGCGCCUCGGGGCUUUCAGAGCCGGACGUUGGUUCGCCAUGGCAAAGCGUGGGCAAGGGGCGCCGGGGAGGAUUUGCUUCUCCUCCCUAUCCCCCCACCCCCAGUGUGGCUUGGAUCAUUGGGCGCCCCCGAUCCGGACCCGCCAGCCCGGUGCUUAGCCACGCGGGUCACUAGUCAGGGCAGAGCCGCUCCAGUCUCGGCCUCAUGCCUCCCCGCGGCCGAACCCGGCAGCGCCAGGCGCUGCUAGCAGCGCAGAGCGGGUCUAGCCCGAGGGGCCGCAGUCAGAGCACCAGCCGCGGGCUUUGCCACCCUCCGCACGGAGAGCGGUUGUAUGAACAGUGAGACUGCGGGUGGAGGGCCCGAUCCUGCUCCCACCGGGGAGCCUCUCCGUUCCCGGGGACAGGAUCAGGCCCUAACCGCUCACGGCUCAGCGCUGGGGAGAUGGGGUUGAGCCCCGGGAGGAUUCCGGACCCAGGCAGCCGCGAGCGGACGCCGCCGCCACCAGCACCCCCUUCGCGCCGCACGCUACGACCCCGGGACUAACUGGAGCCCGCUAGCUACCUCCUCCGUCUGCCUUCCCUUCCUCCAAUUAGCGGCUGGCAUCGCCUUAGCAACAGGCUAACAAACCCCACUAGGCCAAUGACUGAGUGAGCACUGGGCGUGGUCUCUGUUACCAGGCUAGGCUGAGAGGUGGUGCCGGAGCUAAGUCAUUGAAACUCCCUUUCCAUUCAGCGCAGAGUGCACUGUAACAGCAGUCCCUGGAUGGGCUGCGCAGGGAGCGGAUGGCCGAGCUGCUCAAAGCUCACAGUUUAAGUGAAUGCACAAAUCACCGGCGUUUACGCAACACACACUGCGUUUAUCUACAAGUGCUUCUCAUUUGCAAGUUUCAGACCUACUCCAUCUUCCUUCUCCUGCUUCCCAUCCAAAUAGAGAGAACAAAGCAGACUGAAAUGUCUUUGAGUUUAAGGAAAGGUGGAUUUUUAUGAACUGACCAGAGAACGGUUUCUGAAGAUGGGCUGCUUGGACUCAAGUGAUGUUGAUAGGUUUCAACAACACCUCCUCAGUGGCUUUAAACAAGACAGAAGCGACUUUGUCUGUACAAAGUGCAAGCUGGUCUCCAUGUUGGAAGAGAAGG